GCUCGCUUCGGCGGGUCGA
rnacentral:snRNA from 1 species